rnacentral:lncRNA from 10 species
GAAUCUCAUCAAGCUCAGCCACACACCGGUCAGUGGGGAGGCUCCAAUUCCAGGCUGUAGCUCUUGGACGACACUUCUAGACACACCAUGGGACAGAAGGAAACCCAGUGUCUUGAGGGGAAGGACCCAGUCCUGGAAAGAUCCAACACCUGCUGAAUAUAGAGCCCUUGGAUCCUGAAUCACCAGCAGUGAUAGCCAGAACCCUUGGACCCACAGGCCUGACUGUACCUAUGGUGUUCCAGGCACUGGACCAAGCACUCCACAAGCAUUAUCUAAAAGCAACCAAAUGAAGCAGGUACUGCUAUGGACUGAAUUCUGUCCCUCCCAAAAUGUGUAUGUUGAAGUCACUGGCCCCUAAUGUGAUGAUAUUUGGAGAUGGGGACUUUGGGCUAUCAGGGUUAGAUGACGUCAUGAAGUAGAGCUACCAUGAUCACAUCAGUGCUCUUAUAAGAAUAGGAGAGACACGAAUGAGCCUGUUAUUUCUCUCUCUCUCUCUCUCUCUCUCUCUCUCUCUCUGUGGACACUAACAGAAGGCCAUGUGUAAACACUGUAAGAAGGCAAGUUGCCUGCAAGCCAGGAAGAGGCGCUCACCAGGAGCUAAUUAUGCUGCCUCCCUGAUCUCAAGACUUUCAGCCUCCAGAACUAUGAGAAAAUAAAUUUCUGUUAUUUAAGCCACUCAUUAUAUGGUAUUUUGUUGUGGCAGCGCAAGAUGACUAAUGCAGGUGCUACCACUGUUAUCAUUUUAAAGAUAAGGAAACUAAAGCUCAAAGAGGCUGUGAGACUCACCUGAGUGCACAGAAUCAUAGGCUGUGACUUGGGGCCUCCUGUGGGUGACUGCAAAGCCCUUAUCCUUAAUCACUGUGCUGUGAGACUAUGCCCACAGUUAACCAGGUGAGAGACUGUCCCCAUAGCAGGGAUAUAAAUACACAUGUUCUAGGGGUUCCCAGUGGGGACAGUGUCCUAUGGAGUGAACGGGAAGAGCCUCCAAUGGAACUCAAACAUAAGCAAGCCUUUGGAGACAGCAAGCAUCCUCAAUGCACCCGAGACUACAUGCUCAUCACUGGACUGUGUCCUGACAAUCUGCUCUUCUCCCAUCACGCUCGCCUCUGAACUCACGCUCUUGUCUUGACAGCCUCCUAUGACCCAUAUUCAAUUCUACACACAUGGAAAGGCACAUGGUCCUCUCUGCCACUCUUGCAUAUCUUUCUCCCUGAUGGUGAGCUCCUUGGGGACCGAAAGGGGAUCUUGCUCAUAUCUAUGCCCCCACUGACUUCCAUGGGCCUGAUACAGAGCUGGCACUUGAUCAACUUUUGCUGAGUUUAACUGAGAAGCGACCUUCUUGAAGCCACCACAUGAAAGGGCCAGCCACGCUACCAAUGUGGAGGAUCAGGACCCAGCUGGUAUUGUGGGCUCUGUAAAUGUCUGCUGGAUCAAGGAAAUUCCACCCACCAGUUUUAAGCAACUAAAAACCAUUUAUAUGUAGAUAUCUUCAAUUUAUUCUCAGACCCAAGUAGUUGUUGGGAAAAAAAAUUACAAAUGACCAAAAGUAAAAAUAAUAAUAAUAAAGACAAGAGAGGAAAACCUCACGCUGGCACACGGUAUGCAUUCAAUGACCGUUUUUUGACCUGCAGAACUCGUUUCCUAUGAACAGAUCCCACAACUAACAAUUCCUACAAAGAGAAACUGAUGCUAGUGUGAAUUGCCAUUCAUAUCUGAGAGGGCAACAUCAGUAUCCUCGUACCUUUCUAAUAAACAUAUGUUAUAUGUGUGCCUACAAUAUAAAGGUUACUGUGACUUAAAAUUCCAUUGAGAGUACCAGAGCAGCUGCUCCUGUCCUGUUCAUCUUACAUACGAAACCACCAUGAACAAUUUGCCUCUGUGGCCAGUGAAUGGCCUGAGCACCUGGCCUUUGAAUGCAGGUUGUCAUACUUCACUUGAGUGAAAUAGCUUUCUCAAGAAAGUCAACGAUUAUUUCAUUUAAACCCCUUCCACCAAACAAUGCAGCCCUGGCCCUCAACACCCAACUCACAACAUUUCUAAAUCUUCCAGACAGACAAAUAACAAAAUAAGAUUCUACCAAGUUUUAAAAAGAUGGUCAGAAUGGUUCUCAAGCUUAACCCACAGAAAGUGCCUGAUCCUGCAAGCUGGUUUAUAUGAAAACGCCAGUACUUUCCUGAGCCCCUCCAUUCAUUUUGAUACCUCAGUGAUGGCAGGAUAAUGAGGAUUUGGAAAACAAGAAUCACUUGGGUCUAUCUCUCCAUUAAUAGACAGGGCUUGAUAUGGUGAGCGAAAGAGUCACAAUGUUUCCAAUCUAUCUCAGUUGCCAUGUAGAAAAACCAAUUAUCCAGAGGCCCCUCUCCCCUGCAGGAAGAUGAGCUCUCUGUGCAUCAAUAUUUCAUGCACUGUCAUCUGUGCAUUAUUUAAUAAAGCAAUUGAAGGGAUGAGUCUAUUUUAUUUUUCCACCUUCCCACCAGAGACACUAGGCCUACAGUGCACACAGUGCUAGAAGUUGGUGGGCAAUCCUAGAGAUAUAUUUGCUGAUUUUUUUGAGGCCAAGGUGCUGUUUCUAGUCUUAACUACACACUCCCAAUGUCUAAUACACUCCUUACCCCAGGGACACCCAAUCUGUGUCUGUGCUAAUGGAGGUGAGCUCACUUCAGAAUCCAGUAAGUGGGAUGCAACUGAUCACCAGGCAUUUACUGAGUGCCAUACUUGGGGGUACAAAGCUUAUAACCCAGGGUCCCUGCCUCCUGGAACCUAAAGGCUGUCUGCAAAGACAAGAUGAAAAUUCAUGGACAGGCAAAAGACAGACUACAAACCAGCUAAGCACAUGGUUGACCAGGACACAAGUGAUGCACAGGGCCUGGCAUGUCAAGGGCACAGAAGAUAUCCAUCUUUUUUAUCCCCUACCCAAUAUCUAACUCCCUUUCUUCUUGCCCCCAAUCUCCCAUUGUGUAUGGUGUUAGUGGGAAUGCAGCUUCCAUGAUGCUUGCCUCUCAUCUCAUAAGUGAAGGUACCAGAUAUUUCUUUUACCUGAGUCCUGGUAUUGCUGUGGGCAGGUACAUGGUCUGAACUCAACACGAGACCUCUUUCUUGGACCUCCAAGUCUUCAAGGAGUGACUCAAAGAAAAUCUCAAGAUCAAAUUCACUACAGCCAAGAAGGUAGCCCUUAGAGUUGACCUUUUCCAAUGUAUGGCCUUCAGCAGGGCCCUCAGAUUCUGCUCAUUGUCCUAGCCCCCUGGUAGUUCUGUGAACCUGUCAUCGUAAUAAAUCAACUUUUUCUUAACCAGAGUUGGCUUCUGUUUCUUGCCACCAAGAUGCUGACUGAUCAAGCAAUAAAGAAUUGUUUGUUGAAAUAGAGAUUGAAGCUGUGAUCCAAUUGCUAUUCCAUUUCAUCACCAGCAGCCUGAACAUGUGCUUAGGGUACCAAAAAUAUUUUUC